GACGAACGCUGGCGGCGUGCUUAACACAUGCAAGUCGAACGGAAAGGCCCCUUCGGGGGUACUCGAGUGGCGAACGGGUGAGUAACACGUGAGUAACCUGCCCUUGACUUCGGGAUAACUUCAGGAAACUGGGGCUAAUACCGGAUAGGAAUCCUUGCUGCAUGGUGGGGGUUGGAAAGCUUCGGCGGUUUUGGAUGGACUCGCGGCUUAUCAGCUUGUUGGUGGGGUAGUGGCUUACCAAGGCUUUGACGGGUAGCCGGCCUGAGAGGGCGACCGGCCACAGUGGGACUGAGAUACGGCCCAGACUCCUACGGGAGGCAGCAGUGGGGAAUAUUGCACAAUGGGCGGAAGCCUGAUGCAGCAACGCCGCGUGCGGGAUGACGGACUUCGGGUUGUAAACCGCUUUCAGCAGGGGCGAAGCUUGUGGUGACGGUACCUGCAGAAGAAGCACCGGCUAACUACGUG
rnacentral:rRNA from 1 species